ACAAAUCCACCCAACAGAUGCAACAAUGAAACCAAACUCGAAACCCAAAAGCAAACAAGGAGUUUUUACCAAGUACACCAUGAUUCAGACGGCCGUAAAAAUGGAUUCAAAUGAUUCCAACGUAAAUCAUUUUUGCACUUUUUAAAACUGGGACUAAACUGGACAAUUUUCGAAGAGUAGUUGAUGCUAAUAGAAUAGUAUUUCUGCCCAUUAUUGUGUUUUCAAAUUUUGAGAUUUUUUCCCUAGAAUUAGCUCUGUCAUUUUUUUGUUUUUUUUUAUUUAUUGCUCUAGUAUUUGUUAUUAACUCAGAAGGGAUUUUUCUGGAAGGUUUUUCCG
rnacentral:lncRNA from 1 species